AGGGAAUUCCCCAGUUUUGAUAAAUGCGAGAGUUCUCUGAAUUUCGAUAAUUCUAUUUCUGUCAUAUAAGAACUGAAACUGAAGUGGAGUUUUUCUAUAUUUUACUGUUGUGAAACUGAUAUUUGAUACUGUACUCUCAUAAAGAAAUAGAGAACCAUUCAUCAUAUCAUUUAAUAAACGUUUUUGUUCCAAAUCGCAAGUCGCGGGUUUGUUUAUGUAUUAAUGCGCAUGCGUAUAGUUUUCUUGAUUUCAAGGGGUAUCAGAUUGAGUGGUUGCUCUGGAUUCCCCGCUUCAUUGAUUAAUUUGAAACUCAUGGGAUUAUUUCUAUGUCUGUCUGCUAUUGAGGGUUAUUGUUGUUGCAUAAUUUUAAAUCGUAUGCAUCAUUUAAAUUAUAAAAAUAAAUGUUUUUUUUUUUGUUUACCUAUAACACCCCUUCAGUCGAAAUGGAGUCUUCCAUAUUAUCGUUUCGAGUUGUCUCCCUUCCGGAAAUAUUUUCCGUCAAAAUUGAAAUACAGUACGACUUGUCAAGAAAAAUUAACUCGUUAGAUUUCGUUAAAGGUCGUAUUAUAUUAAGAACGAUCUCAAUUUAAACAGAGGAGUGUGUACGGAAAGGAGUCAUGCCCACUGACCCAAAGGAAAUUAAUAUUUAAAGAGUUAGAAAUGGGGUUCCUCCUAGAAUUAACGGUGAUAAGAUACGAAGUGAAAUACCUUCUCUCAUUCUCAGUGACUGCUGUGGAAAGUAAACUUGGAAUUGAUAGUACAAAAAUAAAACACAAUAAGUACGUUGCUCAUACACUUGUAUGGUAUUGUAUCCGGGAUUGGCCAUUUUUAAAGUUGAGUGACUAUUCUGAUUAUUACAUUUUGCAUGUGCAGUUCAAUUAGUUUUGAAAAUAAAUAAUACUAUCCAGCUGUACCAGGGCUGCCAAAAAUGCGUGAGACUCACGCAUGUUCAUGCUUUUUUGCGGCAGUAUCCUUGGAUCUAUUUUUUUCCUCUUUGAUCUUUUCAAUUUUGGCCAAAUCUCACGCAUUUGCUUAAAGGGAA
rnacentral:lncRNA from 1 species